ensembl:snoRNA LOC120100425 small nucleolar RNA SNORA17
CCUCCCCUAGAAAUGUUGCAGGUGUGGCUGCUGUGCUUAUGUGUAUUAGUAGAUGCAAAAAGGAGAGAGGCUAUGUCUAUGCUCAGUGUUCUGACCUAUGAACAUCUGAAUGAUUAGUAACCUAACAUU